rnacentral:rRNA from 1 species
UACGUAGGGUGCGAGCGUUAAUCGGAAUUACUGGGCGUAAAGCGUGCGUAGGCGGUCCGCGAAGUCUGAUGUGAAAUCCCCGGGCUCAACCCGGGAACUGCGUCCGAUACUGGCAGGCUUGAAUUCGGGAGAGGGAUGCGGAAUUCCAGGUGUAGCGGUGAAAUGCGUAGAUAUCUGGAGGAACACCGGUGGCGAAGGCGGCAUCCUGGACCAAAUCUGACGCUGAGGAGCGAAAGCCAGGGGAGCAAACGGG